rnacentral:rRNA from 1 species
AACACGUGAGUAACCUGCCCUUGACUCUGGGAUAAGCCUGGGAAACUGGGUCUAAUACCGGAUAUGACCUUCCAUCGCAUGGUGGUUGGUGGAAAGCUUUUGUGGUUUUGGAUGGACUCGCGGCCUAUCAGCUUGUUGGUGGGGUAAUGGCCUACCAAGGCGACGACGGGUAGCCGGCCUGAGAGGGUGACCGGCCACACUGGGACUGAGACACGGCCCAGACUCCUACGGGAGGCAGCAGUGGGGAAUAUUGCACAAUGGGCGCAAGCCUGAUGCAGCGACGCCGCGUGAGGGAUGACGGCCUUCGGGUUGUAAACCUCUUUCAGUAGGGAAGAAGCCGUGAGGUGACGGUACCUGCAGAAGAAGCGCCGGCUAACUACGUGCCAGCAGCCGCGGUAAUACGUAGGGCGCAAGCGUUAUCCGGAAUUAUUGGGCGUAAAGAGCUCGUAGGCGGUUUGUCGCGUCUGCCGUGAAAGUCCGGGGCUCAACUCCGGAUCUGCGGUGGGUACGGGCAGACUAGAGUGAUGUAGGGGAGACUGGAAUUCCUGGUGUAGCGGUGAAAUGCGCAGAUAUCAGGAGGAACACCGAUGGCGAAGGCAGGUCUCUGGGCAUUAACUGACGCUGAGGAGCGAAAGCAUGGGGAGCGAACAGGAUUAGAUACCCUGGUAGUCCAUGCCGUAAACGUUGGGCACUAGGUGUGGGGGACAUUCCACGUUUUUCCGCGCCGUAGCUAACGCAUUAAGUGCCCCGCCUGGGGAGUACGGCCGCAAGGCUAAAACUCAAAGGAAUUGACGGGGGCCCGCACAAGCGGCGGAGCAUGCGGAUUAAUUCGAUGCAACGCGAAGAACCUUACCAAGGCUUGACAUGAACCAGACCGGACUGGAAACGGUUCUUCCACUUGUGGCUGGUUUACAGGUGGUGCAUGGUUGUCGUCAGCUCGUGUCGUGAGAUGUUGGGUUAAGUCCCGCAACGAGCGCAACCCUCGUUCCAUGUUGCCAGCGGGUCGUGCCGGGGACUCAUGGGAGACUGCCGGGGUCAACUCGGAGGAAGGUGGGGACGACGUCAAAUCAUCAUGCCCCUUAUGUCUUGGGCUUCACGCAUGCUACAAUGGCCGGUACAAAGGGUUGCGAUACUGUGAGGUGGAGCUAAUCCCAAAAAGCCGGUCUCAGUUCGGAUUGGGGUCU